rnacentral:snoRNA from 1 species
UCGGCCUAGCAUGAUGAAAUAUUUCGGAUGUAAAACUUUACUUUCUGAAAUGCGCAAACAAAACAAUGUUGAGAUUUCCGUUGCCUUCCUUCUGAUCAUACUGCCU